UCCAUGGGGUUCACUAAUGCUGAUGGUCUAAAGACGCGAAGCCAUGGAGUUAUGAUCUCCUCUUCGUUCGACGGUAGCGCAGUGACGUCUGAGCUUCAUCUCAGUCUCUGAAACAGAUCGAUUUAUGGCUUUUUCGUGUUUAAUUCCAUUAAUCCAUUCACCCACGAUGAGGUCUGAUCAAUGUGUUGUUUGCAUGGGCGAGGCAGUGUGUUUACGGUAUAAAUAGAAGAUGAUGUGCAGUAUAAGCCGCUCUUUUGGAUCUUACGGGUUAAAGUCAUAUACUGAGACAUCAAGGCCUCGAACAUCUCGACCAAAAUGGAAGCUUUCAGACUUUGUGUUAGCGAAAUACAGUCCAAUGAGAGAAACAAGCUAUUUUAGUACAGAAAUCAUGGGUACAUUCGGCUAUGCAGCUCCUGAGUAUGAGUCAACAGAUUUUCAAGAAAGCGUUGGAUUGACAAAUAAUAUUUGGGAAAAAGAGACAGCUAAGACACCUAAGAUGCAAAUAUAUGGACGAAAGGAAAGCUUUUUAUUUAUCUUUUUUUUAUUGGAAAGAUAAACUUUUACGAUGCUGAUGAGUGGUUUUUGUCUCAGAGUGUAGAGGAGGAGAUUGUAAAUUUGCAGGUGGGAUCACAAGAAGUCGAUACAGAGCAAUGGAGAGGCCCCCAGAGGGAUGGGUUAUGUGUAAUGUGGCCUAUGAGUAGUCAAAAGAGAGAUGUCCAUGGUGGGUGCGGCAUGGGUUCUUAGAGAUGUGAAUGGACUGGUGCUUUGUCAUAGUAGGACGACGUUCGUUGGUUGUCAUUUGAAGGAUGAAGCCAAGCUGAUAACUAUUUUGUGGGCAGUAGAAAGCAUGACCAGCCAAAGAGUAAAGAAUGUCAUAUUUAAAGGUGAAUUCAAGGAAUUUUUUGAAGCUAUUAAUAAACCUGGUGCUUGGCCUGCAUUUAGCUUUCAAGGUAUGGAGGUGAUGACUGCUCUCUCUGGAUGUCAAGGUUGGUUAGUGAAUACGGUGCACAAAGAUGCCAAUAGAUAGAGGAGCUUCUUCCAUAGCUCAAAGCCUAAUCAAUAUGGGCUUUUUCAGUCGUAUGUAGCAAAAGGCCGCCCUCAAUGGUUACGCUCUCUUUCUUUGACAAUGAAUGAGCUUUCUCUGAUGGUAAUUGGCUCAGGAAUUAAUGUACUGGAAGGUGCACUGAUGGAUGUUGCAGGUGUGGAGUUAUGAAUUGGGUUUGUUGUUCCUAACCUGUUGAUGUCCCUAACUUUUGUUGUCUGUAUGAUGUACCGGAUAUCUGUAAUACAUUCUCAUGUUAUAUAAAUCAAUCUGUGUAAAACAAAGAUGAACUUUUUCAAUAAAAAUAAUACUCAAAAUUAUAUGUAUGUUUCUUUCUA